rnacentral:rRNA from 1 species
UACGUAGGGACCAAGCGUUGUUCGGAUUUACUGGGCGUAAAGGGCGCGUAGGCGGCUUGUCAAGUCACUUGUGAAAUCUCUGGGCUUAACCCAGAACGGCCAAGUGAAACUGACAUGCUAGAGUGCAGAAGGGGCAAUCGGAAUUCUUGGUGUAGCGGUGAAAUGCGUAGAUAUCAAGAGGAACACCUGAGGUGAAGACGGGUUGCUGGGCUGACACUGACGCUGAGGCGCGAAAGCCAGGGGAGCAAACGGGG